rnacentral:lncRNA from 1 species
GCUGAUUUGAGAUCUGGCUGAGUCCAGGACUGGGGCACAAUUAUACAAGAUAAACCUGUGUCAUGUUCCUUUGGCCCUGAUAGCUGCUUUAAAUAAGUCUGAUAUUCCAAAAGCUGUAUCCCUUCAAAUUGGUGCCUAUGGGUAGCUUUUCCAUAGCAAGAUAUUGAGAUUUUUCUGGUUCUCCUUCUGCUGAGUAAUUUUGGAUUGUGUCUUGAAUAUUUUAAAUCCCUAUGUUAUAGAGCUGUAGACAUGGUCUGAAUGCUAUGCUGAAUAUUGAUUUUUUAUUGUUAUUGUUGUUGUUGUAGCAGAAUGCUGACCCAACAAGGGGUUGAAGGUUCUUACUGCUUCUGUUGGGCAGUUCCAAUCUGUUCCCUUUUCAAGCCCUUGCAGUGUUAUUCAGGUCUUUCCUGUAUAUGUGACACCCAGUGGCCACUUCAGAACCUGAGCAGUGGUACACUCCUGCUUCUGUUCCACAUUGCCUGAGAUUUCUUACUUAUUUUCCUCCCCUACACAUUUUCUACCAAACUUUCCACUCCACAGUGGUCCUCCAUCCCACCCUGUGACCUAAUAGGUAUGGCUCAUACAUUGUUGAUCUGUGCCUUUCCCUCAAUAGUGUUGGUCCCCAGGGCCAAGCAGUUACAGGACAGAGAAAAAAAGCCACCUGUCCUCUGUUCUAUCACUUGAAAGCAGCGACAAUUAUUUUUCUUUUACCUUUUGGUCAUUGUUGACUCCUUCACCCAGUUUUCUAGGAAUCGUACUGAGAACCUGAUACAACUCUCUCCCUAUUCUCUCUGGGCACCACAAAUUCUGUGGUCAGAAGGAAAAUCACCAUCCUUCAGAGUUUAGGCUGCAGUCCAGCCACUUUUGUCAUUGCUACUAGAAUACCCAGAGGGGCUGGGAGAGAAUGGCAAAAGACAAAGGAAAAAGAAAGCCAGGCACUCUGCCCCACAGAUAGCCUUUUGUCCUUGUGCCUCCAAUUAUUUGAAUACUUGCAGAGGCUGAAGAACGGCUCCAUUAUCAGAUAAGAAUAAUAAAGAUAAAGUAUAGAUACACAUAUAUAUAUACCUGGCACCGAAUAAUCCUCUAUGAUGUUUUCAAGUUAUAUUUUCAUUAUUAUUUAAAAAGAAGAGAAAAUUGCCUUGUUAAUAAUCCAAUUAUAAAAGUUGUUGUAUUAUUUUUGGGAAAUCCAUACAAUUGAUAAAAGUAUAAAGGAAAAAUAACCUAUCCACAACUUUGGAAAAAAGCCUGUCAUCAAGCUCCUGUUUCCUUUCAUUCUGUUUCUUCCAUCAAUAGACAUAUUAGAGAAGUAAAAUAUACUGAUUCAUAAUUCAUGUGUUUUUUGUUUGAUUGUAAACAUUUUUACUUUUA